AUUGAACGCUGGCGGCAUGCCUUACACAUGCAAGUCGAACGGCAGCACGGGUGCUUGCACCUGGUGGCGAGUGGCGAACGGGUGAGUAAUACAUCGGAACGUACCUUAUCGUGGGGGAUAACGCAGCGAAAGCUGUGCUAAUACCGCAUACGCCCUGAGGGGGAAAGCGGGGGAUCGAAAGACCUCGCGCGAUUAGAGCGGCCGAUGCCUGAUUAGCUUGUUGGUGGGGUAAAAGCCCACCAAGGCGACAAUCGGUAGCUGGUCUGAGAGGACGAUCAGCCACACCGGGACUGAGACACGGCCCAGACUCCUACGGGAGGCAGCAGUGGGGAAUUUUGGACAAUGGGGGCAACCCUGAUCCAGCAAUGCCGCGUGAGUGAAGAAGGCCUUCGGGUUGUAAAGCUCUUUUGUCAGGGAAGAAACACCGGCUCUAACACAGUCCGGGAAUGACGGUACCUGAAGAAUAAGCACCGGCUAACUACGUGCCAGCCGCCGCCGUAA
rnacentral:rRNA from 1 species